rnacentral:rRNA from 1 species
AAUCCAGACUCCUACGGGAGGCAGCAGUGGGGAAUAUUGCACAAUGGGGGAAACCCUGAUGCAGCGACGCCGCGUGAGUGAAGAAGUAUUUCGAUAUGUAAAGCUCUAUCAGCAGGGAAGAAGAUGACGGUACCUGAGUAAGAAGCCCCGGCUAACUACGUGCCAGCAGCCGCGGUAAUACGUAGGGGGCAAGCGUUAUCCGGAUUUACUGGGUGUAAAGGGAGCGUAGACGGCAUAGCAAGUCUGAAGUGAAAGCCCAAGGCUCAACCAUGGGACUGCUUUUGAAACUGUCAAACUAGAGUACGGGAGAGGUAAGAGGAAUUCCUAGUGUAGCGGUGAAAUGCGUAGAUAUUAGGAGGAACACCAGUGGCGAAGGCGUCUUACUGGACCGAAACUGACGUUGAGGCUCGAAAGCGUGGGGAGCAAACAGGAUUAGAUACCCCCGUAUA